CAUGCAAGUCGAGCGAACAGAUGAGAAGCUUGCUUCUCUGAUGUUAGCGGCGGACGGGUGAGUAACACGUGGGUAACCUACCUAUAAGACUGGGAUAACUCCGGGAAACCGGGGCUAAUACCGGAUAAUAUUUUGAACCGCAUGGUUCAAUAGUGAAAGACGGUUUCGGCUGUCACUUAUAGAUGGACCCGCGCCGUAUUAGCUAGUUGGUAAGGUAACGGCUUACCAAGGCGACGAUACGUAGCCGACCUGAGAGGGUGAUCGGCCACACUGGAACUGAGACACGGUCCAGACUCCUACGGGAGGCAGCAGUAGGGAAUCUUCCGCAAUGGGCGAAAGCCUGACGGAGCAACGCCGCGUGAGUGAUGAAGGUCUUCGGAUCGUAAAACUCUGUUGUUAGGGAAGAACAAAUUUGUUAGUAACUGAACAAGUCUUGACGGUACCUAACCAGAAAGCCACGGCUAACUACGUGCCAGCAGCCGCGGUAAUACGUAGGUGGCAAGCGUUAUCCGGAAUUAUUGGGCGUAAAGCGCGCGUAGGCGGUUUCUUAAGUCUGAUGUGAAAGCCCACGGCUCAACCGUGGAGGGUCAUUGGAAACUGGGAAACUUGAGUGCAGAAGAGGAGAGUGGAAUUCCAUGUGUAGCGGUGAAAUGCGCAGAGAUAUGGAGGAACACCAGUGGCGAAGGCGGCUCUCUGGUCUGUAACUGACGCUGAUGUGCGAAAGCGUGGGGAUCAAACAGGAUUAGAUACCCUGGUAGUCCACGCCGUAAACGAUGAGUGCUAAGUGUUAGGGGGUUUCCGCCCCUUAGUGCUGCAGCUAACGCAUUAAGCACUCCGCCUGGGGAGUACGACCGCAAGGUUGAAACUCAAAGGAAUUGACGGGGACCCGCACAAGCGGUGGAGCAUGUGGUUUAAUUCGAAGCAACGCGAAGAACCUUACCAAAUCUUGACAUCCUUUGACCGCUCUAGAGAUAGAGUCUUCCCCUUCGGGGGACAAAGUGACAGGUGGUGCAUGGUUGUCGUCAGCUCGUGUCGUGAGAUGUUGGGUUAAGUCCCGCAACGAGCGCAACCCUUAAGCUUAGUUGCCAUCAUUAAGUUGGGCACUCUAGGUUGACUGCCGGUGACAAACCGGAGGAAGGUGGGGAUGACGUCAAAUCAUCAUGCCCCUUAUGAUUUGGGCUACACACGUGCUACAAUGGAUAAUACAAAGGGCAGCGAAUCCGCGAGGCCAAGCAAAUCCCAUAAAAUUAUUCUCAGUUCGGAUUGUAGUCUGCAACUCGACUACAUGAAGCUGGAAUCGCUAGUAAUCGUAGAUCAGCAUGCUACGGUGAAUACGUUCCCGGGUCUUGUACACACCGCCCGUCACACCACGAGAGUUUGUAACACCCGAAGCCGGUGGAGUAACCUUU
rnacentral:rRNA from 2 species